rnacentral:rRNA from 1 species
CUACGGGUCGCUGCAGUGAGGAAUAUUGCACAAUGGGGGAAACCCUGAUGCAGCAACGCCGCGUGGAGGAUGACGCAUUUCGGUGUGUAAACUCCUUUUAUAUGUCAAGAAAAUGACGGUAGCAUAUGAAUAAGCACCGGCUAACUCCGUGCCAGCAGCCGCGGUAAUACGGAGGGUGCAAGCGUUACUCGGAAUCACUGGGCGUAAAGGACGCGUAGGCUGGUUGGUAAGUCAGGUGUGAAAUCCUACAGCUUAACUGUAGAACUGCACUUGAAACUACCAACCUAGAGUAUGGGAGGGGGAGAUGGAAUUAGUGGUGUAGGGGUAAAAUCCGUAGAUAUCACUAGGAAUACCGAAAGCGAAGGCGAUCUCCUGGAACAUAACUGACGCUAAGGCGUGAAAGCGUGGGGAGCAAACAGGAUUAGAUACCCGGGUAGUC